rnacentral:rRNA from 1 species
UACGGAGGGUGCAAGCGUUAUCCGGAUUCACUGGGUUUAAAGGGUGCGUAGGCGGAUAGGUAAGUCCGUGGUGAAAUCCAUGCAGCUUAACUGCAGAACUGCCAUGGAUAACUAUUUAUCUUGAAUGUCGUGGAGGUUAGCAGAAUAUGUCAUGUAGCGGUGAAAUGCUUAGAUAUGACAUAGAAUACCCAUUGCGAAGGCAGCUAACUACGCGAUAAUUGACGCUGAUGCACGAAAGCGUGGGGAUCAAACAG